UACUUCUCGGUAAUUUUGUGACGGCUCGUUUAAUUACUUUUUCACUUUUAUCGUGCACGUUUGUCGUUUUCUUAAUUUUGCUCAGGUUCAUUCUAAGUAUAGAGAGCGUUAUUUUUCGUUUUUCUAUUUUUCGGAUCUUCUCGAGCUACUAUCUCGAAGUCGUGGAAUCUCACUCAAGUUUAUUCCAAGUAUAGAGAGAGCUUUCUAUUUUUCGGAUCUACUCGAACUACUAUCUCAAAAACACGGAAGUGAUGGGGCGGUUUGAAAAUCAAGUUAAAUGGUCCAUGGCUGCUCCGAAUAUUUAUGGAGUUAGUUAGUAGACAUUGAUUACGACGCAUGUUGAAUGUUCAAAUGAACGAUUGUUUCACACCAAGUAAGCUGGAGUCUAUGAUCGAGACACCAAAUGGGUAAUAACUAUCCACUCAUUCUCGGUAGAAUUUGCUCUCGGUUCAUUUAUGUUAAAUAUGAUGAGACUAGACAGUGUUUGAAUUGUUCGUAUGAAGUAAAGACAUGUGUUAACAUGUGCGUCGUGUUUUUCAAUGCUACCGGCCCCACGAAGCUCAAGUGGCAAUAUGGUUAUUAUGAAUAGAAAACAAUAGUCUCAAAUAUUGAUUAAUGGUCCGAGAU